rnacentral:rRNA from 1 species
UUGGUGGGGUGAUGGCCUACCAAGGCGACGACGGGUAGCCGGCCUGAGAGGGUGUCCGGCCACACUGGGACUGAGAUACGGCCCAGACUCCUACGGGAGGCAGCAGUGGGGAAUAUUGCACAAUGGGCGCAAGCCUGAUGCAGCGACGCCGCGUGGGGGAUGACGGCCUUCGGGUUGUAAACCUCUUUCACCAUCGGCGAAGCCGGGAGCUUUUGUUUCUGGUGACGGUAGGUGGAGAAGAAGCACCGGCCAACUACGUGCCAGCAGCCGCGGUAAUACGUAGGGUGCGAGCGUUGUCCGGAAUUACUGGGCGUAAAGAGCUCGUAGGUGGUUUGUCGCGUUGUUCGUGAAAUCUCACGGCUUAACUGUGAGCGUGCGGGCGAUACGGGCAGACUGGAGUACUGCAGGGGAGACUGGAAUUCCUGGUGUAGCGGUGGAAUGCGCAGAUAUCAGGAGGAACACCGGUGGCGAAGGCGGGUCUCUGGGCAGUAACUGACGCUGAGGAGCGAAAGCGUGGGGAGCGAACAGGAUUAGAUACCCUGGUAGUCCACGCCGUAAACGGUGGGUACUAGGUGUGGGUUUCCUUCCUUGGGAUCCGUGCCGUAGCUAACGCAUUAAGUACCCCGCCUGGGGAGUACGG